GCCCAGAUACGUCACUGUCGUCAUCAGUGUGUUCGGGAAGGGCUGAGGAAACCCGUUUGGUGAACCUGAAUAAAUGAGUCUCAUGUUAUUGUCUUCUCCUCUGAGAUUCUGCAGUUGCACGAGGCGUUAGCUCGAAGCGGGUCAUUAGCACGUCAGAGCUGAGUCCGUGUGAAGAAUGCUCCGGAAGGUGUGAAUCUUCUUCCUUGGGUAGGAGUUCCAGUGCUUGGGCCAGAAAAUGGGGAUCUCUGACCUGGAGCUACAGGUGGUGAUCAAAGCAAGGAAGCUGCUAGAGUCAAGAGUCACACGGAGAGGUCAAUGCGCUAGAGAAGUCUUCCCAUCUCCAAACAGGGGAGCCAGAAGCAGAUUACCAGAGCCACCGUGGAGAAGGGAGAGAACCAUUCCUGGCGGAGGCAGAGCCAGCCUGCAGGGCUCUCACGGGUGGCCGAGGUGUGAGGGAAACCUCAGCGCAUCUAAAGACUAAGAACUGGGCAGUUUCCCUGAGGUGCUCCUUCCUUUCUUGUCAUAGGAGCGCACUCCAUGCAGGGCUGUGGAUUUUUCCUUUUGGCAAAAGGCACUGGUAGGAAGCUAGCCUUUGUCUAGCUCCCAGUCCUCCAGUGAGGAAAUGCCCACGCUGAAGCAUCUCGUCUGCUGUGGGGGUGGAGCCAAGGCACGGCUCUGAAGGAGCCAGUUCUGUGACGUGGGUCUCAACUCUGCUCCUGGAAGCUGAGUGUUCACGCUCUUGCUGACCCUCCCAACAAUUAAACCAGUUCACGUGGGUUCUCUUUGCAACUAAACCUGACUGACAGAGUUGGUCAUACAUUUCUGCUAACUGCAGAUCUUUGGGAACUCACAUGCGUGUGGUGGUAACUCCUGGGUGGUGACCCACAGGGGCGUUUCCUGUGGAAAUGUCGAGUACUUCUAUUUGGUGACAUCCCAUAGAUUGUCAAAGUUGGUAAUUUUAAUUAGUGGCCAUGGGAAAAGGGGGUGUGAAGCCCAGUCCUUCACGGGUCUUUUUUAUAAUGAAGACUUCCGCUUGGCUUUUUUUGGUAGACAAACAUCAGACAGACACUUUUUAUAGCAUCAAGACACCUAGGCGGGCCUUUUACUCACAAGAGGUAGAUGGCGUGUCACGCUAUUAUGUUGGUUCUGCAGGGACUGCUUUUUCCAGAAUCUUUGUUCAGCUGCUCGGGAAGCAUCUGCAAGCCCACCCGCCUUCCUCCUGUAGGCCGUCUGCAGCCCCAGCUCUUCUCACCACAGGGCUCUGGGGACGUUCCUGGGCCAUGUGACUGGCGAACACUCUGAGAAGCACCUUCUGGGGCACUGAGCUCCUACCUGAAGCUGAGGAAGGGAGGCAUUAGGUGACAUUACUCCUCUGGGCAGCAACAGAGGACGGGAGGCGUUAAGUGACAUUAUUCUUCUGGGCGGCAACAGUCGCGUGAAAAUCAUGGCUCAUGCAAAGACAACUUGGAUGGAAUCAAACACGGAAGCAAGCCACACUUCUUUCCUGAGCCCCCUAAAUACGAGUGUUCACUUAUUUUUAUCUAAUUAUUGAUCAGAACAAAGCAAUCCCCUUCCUUCCCCUACCUCGAAAAACCAGGGCCACAGCAACCCAUCCAGAGGACAGUGAACUCCAGUGCCUGCCUGGGUCGCAACCCCACACCUCACUGGUAGGCUGUGCUUCUUCGGGCUCAGGGCCAGGCUGGGUCCGAGCGAGAAGCGAUGACUCACUGCGCAGGGGUUUCCACACCGAGUCCCCUGUUUCUUCACGCGCUCGCUGAGCACUCACUGUGUGUCAGGCACUCUGCUAGGCACCAGGGGCACAGAAGAAUCUGAGAUGUGGUGCUGGCCCCUGGGAACUCAUCACUGACGGGGCUGACAGAAGCAGCAGAACCGCGCUUACACUGUGGUCUGUAGGCCCAGGUGUGGAGGGGGCCCAGAGGAGAGGCACACCCCAGUUCUUGGGGCUGGUUCUCUGCCAUGCUCUUCUGGACUCCAGUCCUGGCCUUGUGAGUUUCCCAGUACCCCGGCUCCUCUAGAGUCAGGUUCUUCUCUACAUGCAAGCACAGGACCCAGGCCGGGCCAUGUUACCCACCGUGUGUCAGACUUUGCAAACACCAACACCUGCCUGUACCUCUGAAGAUGACCUCCUCCCUCUACUCAUCGGUGGGACCACCCCGGUGGGAAAGGUCGUCAAAAAGAUGUGGCCACCAACCGACCCGUGAGCCGGACACUGGCACUUGGAGGCCCCUCACCUCCUCGGCCCUGUCCUUGGAACGUGGUUUCCACUUGCCUUUCUUGCUCCCGGAGGCCGUAUCACAAGGAUAUAGCCUUGAGAUGGCGACGUGGCGUUGAAAACGCCUUCAUGGUGUAUGUGACUAGACCCUGCGAAGGCCUCUUUAUAAACUUUGCAGGUAUGGCCAGCAGGUACAGGGAUCCAUUCAUCUUGCUGCUGCCUGAGACAAGCCUCAUAUGUAAGUCCCCUUUGCUUAUUAAAGCUGCCACCCACCAUCCUGGAA